GACGAACGCUGGCGGCGUGCUUAACACAUGCAAGUCGAACGGAAAGGCCCUGCUUUUGUGGGGUGCUCGAGUGGCGAACGGGUGAGUAACACGUGAGUAACCUGCCCUUGACUUUGGGAUAACUUCAGGAAACUGGGGCUAAUACCGGAUAGGAUCUCCUGCUGCAUGGUGGGGGUUGGAAAGUUUCGGCGGUUGGGGAUGGACUCGCGGCUGAUCAGCUUGUUGGUGGGGGAGUGGCGUACCAAGGCUUUGACGGGUAGCCGGCCUGAGAGGGUGAACGGGCACAUUGGGACUGAGAUACGGCGCAGAGUCCUACGGGGGACAACAGUGGGGAAUAUUGCACAGUCGGCGGAAGCCUGAUGAAGAAACGCCGCGUGCGGGAUGACGGCCUUCGGGUUGUAAACCGCUUUCGCCUGUGACGAAGCGUGUGUGACGGUAAUGGGUAAAGAAGCACCGGCUAACUACGUG
rnacentral:rRNA from 1 species